CAAUAGCAUAUGUUAAAGUUGUUGCGGUUAAAAAGCUCGUAGUUGGAUCUCGGCGGCCCGGGGGCGGUGCGCUCUCUGGCGCGACUGCCCCGCUGGGCCGUGUGUUUCGGCGGGGGUCGGCGGGUGCUCUUGACCGGGUGUCCGCCCGACGCCGUCGGGUUUACUUUGAAAAAAUCGGAGUGCUCCAGGCAGGCCUGACACGCCUGCACGGUCGUGCAUGGAAUGAUGGAAGAGGACGUCGUUUCUGUUCUGUCGGUUUUCGGAAGUCGACGUAAUGAUUGACGGGGACGGUCGGGGGCAUUGGUAUUCGGGCGACAGAGGUGAAAUUCUUGGACCGUCCGAAGACCCGCUACUGCGAAAGCAUUUGCCAAGAAUGUUUUCAUUAAUCAAGAACGAAAGUCAGAGGUU
rnacentral:rRNA from 1 species